AAGCGUGCGUAGGCGGCUUUUUAAGUUCGGAUGUGAAAUCCCCGAGCUUAACUUGGGAAUUGCAUUCGAUACUGGGAAGCUAGAGUAUGGGAGAGGAUGGUAGAAUUCCAGGUGUAGCGGUGAAAUGCGUAGAGAUCUGGAGGAAUACCGAUGGCGAAGGCAGCCAUCUGGCCUAAUACUGACGCUGAGGUACGAAAGCAUGGGGAGCAAACAGGAUUAGAUACCCCUGU
rnacentral:rRNA from 1 species